GGUUCGUCUCAGCCCAACCUGUCUACCUCCUACAGCGAGGAGUACGGCAAGUCGGAGGGGUCACCUGCAUCCUACCACGGCUCCACGUCCCCGGUUCCAGGCUCAGAGUUGGAGCAGGCCCGCCCCCAGACCAGCGGAGAGGAGGAGCUCCAGCUGCAGCUGGCCCUGGCCAUGAGCAGAGAGGCUGCAGAACAGGAGGAGAGGAUGCGUGGGGAGAUGACCUGAGACUC